GACGAACGCUGGCGGCGUGCUUAACACAUGCAAGUCGAACGGAAAGGCCUUGCUUUUGUGGGGUGCUCGAGUGGCGAACGGGUGAGUAACACGUGAGUAACCUGCCCUUGACUUUGGGAUAACUUCAGGAAACUGGGGCUAAUACCGGAUAGGAGCUCCUGCUGCAUGGUGGGGGUUGGAAAGUUUCGGCGGUUGGGGAUGGACUCGCGGCUUAUCAGCUUGUUGGUGGGGUAGUGGCUUACCAAGGCUUUGACGGGUAGCCGGCCUGAGAGGGUGACCGGCCACAUUGGGACUGAGAUACGGCCCAGACUCCUACGGGAGGCAGCAGUGGGGAAUAUUGCACAAUGGGCGGAAGCCUGAUGCAGCAACGCCGCGUGCGGGAUGACGGCCUUCGGGUUGUAAACCGCUUUCGCCUGUGACGAAGCGUGAGUGACGGUAAUGGGUAAAGAAGCACCGGCUAACUACGCG
rnacentral:rRNA from 1 species